UCCAGACUCCUACGGGAGGCAGCAGUGGGGGAUAUUGCACAAUGGGGGGAACCCUGAUGCAGCGACGCCGCGUGGGUGAAGGAGUGCUUCGGCAUGUAAAGCCCUAUCGGCAGGGAAGAAGCAGGACGGUACCUGACUAAGAAGCCCCGGCUAACUACGUGCCAGCAGCCGCGGUAAUACGUAGGGGGCGAGCGUUAUCCGGAUUCACCGGGUGUAAAGGGAGCGUAGACGGCCAUGCAAGCCAGGGGUGAAAGCCCGGGGCCCAACCCCGGGACUGCCCUUGGAACUGCCAGGCUGGAGUGCCGGAGAGGCAGGCGGAAUUCCUAGUGUAGCGGUGAAAUGCGUAGAUAUUAGGAGGAACACCAGUGGCGAAGGCGGCCUGCUGGACGGUGACUGACGCUGAGGCUCGAAAGCGUGGGGAGCAAACAGGAUUAGAUACCCCUGUAGCC
rnacentral:rRNA from 1 species